AAUCCUUUUCUUUCCCUUUCCUCUGGGCCGGAAAGAAAAGUUGGAUAAUGAUAGAUAUGUGUGCAAAGUGUGGUCCACAUCCAUCAAGCCAUGGAAACACGGUAGUAUCCCAGGAGAAUUCUGAGAACUAUAGUCCAAAAAGGAACUUUCCCCAAGCUCUGCCUCUGCACAACUGAACUACAGGAAGGACAAAUAAGGACAAUUAAACUUGUUACUGGGGUACACAUAUUUUAGACUAUUCCAGAAAAGUGAAAAUGGACAAGGCAAGGCAAGGCUCCCAUACUAUAACCCACCUUUCCUGCAAGGAGCUGAAAGCCAUGCCUGUGGCAACUCAUUCCUAUGUUUCCCCUCUCAAGGUAGCAGCAAGGAAAGAGAGGAGCUGCAUGCAGAAAAGACACACUUGCAAAUUUUCUUGCUUCUUCUAAGUGGCUAAAGUACCAGAAGACUUCUGUUCUGUUUGAAACUGGAAAGUGGUAUCACUAGAUUGGGUUGCUGUGCUCUUGAAUUGCUGAAGCCGCUUGUGGAAAGGAUUUGCUGCCAACAACUGAAUCCUUCAAGAAAGCUUGAGAAGAAAAGCAGACUUGGCUUUGGGAUGGUCUGAAUGACCUUUCAGGUUUUCCAAACAGCACAAAGAUGCAGCUGAAAUGCAUGACUUGCAGGGCUGACAGUCAGGAAGUAGCUAUUAACACAUAUGUGUUCUAUCUAAAGACUAAAUGAAAGUGUUGACUUCAGUU